AGCCCAGAGCCUGAAUCAGUGUGUGUAUUAGUGGAAGCGUCUGGAAAGGCGCGCGAUACAGGGUGACAGCCCCGUACACAAAAAUGCACAUGCUGUGAGCUCGAUGAGUAGGGCGGGACACGUGGUAUCCUGUCUGAAUAUGGGGGGACCAUCCUCCAAGGCUAAAUACUCCUGACUGACCGAUAGUGAACCAGUACCGUGAGGGAAAGGCGAAAAGAACCCCGGCGAGGGGAGUGAAAAAGAACCUGAAACCGUGUACGUACAAGCAGUGGGAGCCUCUUUAUGGGGUGACUGCGUACCUUUUGUAUAAUGGGUCAGCGACUUAUAUUCUGUAGCAAGGUUAACCGAAUAGGGGAGCCGAAGGGAAACCGAGUCUUAACUGGGCGUUAAGUUGCAGGGUAUAGACCCGAAACCCGGUGAUCUAGCCAUGGGCAGGUUGAAGGUUGGGUAACACUAACUGGAGGACCGAACCGACUAAUGUUGAAAAAUUAGCGGAUGACUUGUGGCUGGGGGUGAAAGGCCAAUCAAACCGGGAGAUAGCUGGUUCUCCCCGAAAGCUAUUUAGGUAGCGCCUCGUGAAUUCAUCUCCGGGGGUAG
rnacentral:rRNA from 1 species